rnacentral:rRNA from 1 species
UGGGGAAUAUUGCACAAUGGAGGGAACUCUGAUGCAGCGACGCCGCGUGAGUGAUGAAGGAAUUCGUUUCGUAAAACUCUGUUCUAUGGGAAGAAAAGGACUGUACUAUAGGAGAAAGCUCCGGCUAAAUACGUGCCAGCAGUCGCGGUAAUACGUAUGGAGCGAGCGUUGUCCGGAAUUAUUGGGCGUAAAGGGUGCGCAGGCGGCUUUACAAGUUGGAUGUGAAAUAUUGUGGCUCAACCACAAACGUGCAUCCAAAACUGCAAAGCUUGAGUUAAGGAGAGGUAAGUGGAAUUCCUGGUGUAGCGGUGGGAUGCGUAGAUAUCAGGAGGAAUACCGGUGGCGAGGGCGACUUACGGGACUUAAACUGACGCUCAGACACGAAAGCGUGGGGAGCAAACAGG